rnacentral:rRNA from 1 species
UACGGGGGGGGCAAGCGUUGUUCGGAAUUACUGGGCGUAAAGCGCGCGCAGGCGGUCCUUCAAGUCAGAGGUGAAAGCCCAGGGCUCAACCCUGGAACUGCCUUUGAAACUGGAGGACUUGAGUACGGGAGAGGUGAGUGGAAUUCCGAGUGUAGAGGUGAAAUUCGUAGAUAUUCGGAAGAACACCAGUGGCGAAGGCGGCUCACUGGCCCGUUACUGACGCUCAGGCGCGACAGCGUGGGGAGCAAACAGG